AGUGAACGCUGGCGGUAGGCCUAACACAUGCAAGUCGAACGGCAGCACAGUAAAAGCUUGCUCUUACGGGUGGCGAGUGGCGGACGGGUGAGGAAUACAUCGGAAUCUACUUUUUCGUGGGGGAUAACGUAGGGAAACUUACGCUAAUACCGCAUACGACCUACGGGUGAAAGCAGGGGAUCUUCGGACCUUGCGCGAUUGAAUGAGCCGAUGUCGGAUUAGCUAGUUGGCGGGGUAAAGGCCCACCAAGGCGACGAUCCGUAGCUGGUCUGAGAGGAUGGUCAGCCACACUGGAACUGAGACACGGUCCAGACUCCUACGUGAGGCAGCAGUGGGGAAUAUUGGACAAUGGGCGCAAGCCUGAUCCAGCCAUACCGCGUGAGUGAAGAAGGCCUUCGGGUUGUAAAGCCCUUUUGUUGGGAAAGAAAAGCAGCAGGUUAAUACCCCGCUGUUCUGACGGUACCCAAAGAAUAAGCACCGGCUAACUCCGUG
rnacentral:rRNA from 1 species